GAUGAACGCUAGCGGCAGGCUUAACACAUGCAAGUCGAGGGGCAGCGAGGGUAGCAAUACCUGUCGGCGACCGGCGCAAGGGUGCGUAACGCGUGAGCAACAUGCCCGUAUCAGGGGGAUAAUCCAGGGAAACUUGGUCUAAUACCCCAUAGAAAUCAUUUAAGGCAUCUUUUAUGAUUUAAAGCUUUGGUGGAUACGGAUUGGCUCGCGUGACAUUAGUUAGAUGGUAGGGUAACGGCUUACCAUGACUAUGAUGUCUAGGGGUUCUGAGAGGAAGGUCCCCCACACUGGAACUGAGACACGGUCCAGACUCCUACGGGAGGCUG
rnacentral:rRNA from 1 species